GUAAACAGAUCCCACCCAAGUCUCGGUCCGAUUACGCCCGAACCUGACCGCAAACAGAUCCCUUCCCCGAGCCCCCGAGCCUCCAACCCUUCCCCUCCGCCGCCUCCAGCCCUCGUCUGCCCUUCGCUGAUCUCCUUCUCCGGCUACCCCCGUCGGCGUCGGAGGCGUCGAGGCCGACUUCCCCGGCGUCAAGAAGAAGCCCGCCCGCUCCUUCCCCGACACGGCGACACCUCAAGCUUCAGGGCUGUAGUUAGGUCACCUGACCGUCCGCUCCUUCUUCCCCACGCGUACGCCGUCGGAUCGACCAGAUCUUGUGGUUUUUCACCGGACACCUCUCCUCCUUUCAGUUUCCCAGGUCCUUGCGCAAGAUCUCAAGCCUGGACAUCCACAUCGUGCUGGCCUGCGUGGGGGUUCAAAGAGGACGUGUGUGUGUGUCAGAUCCAGCACCUCACUGUUCAGUGCCAGAGCCAUCUAGUCGUCCUCGUUCUUGCCGUCGAGAAGCAGCACCGGCCAUGCUACCAGAUUAGGAUCUGAAGUGUACUGUAUUUUCGCUUAUCAACCUCCACUUUCACAUUCUUUUUCCCAACAGUGGUUCAUCGGUUGUCCUGCUCAUUCCUCUCCUCCCCCAUCGGUUGUUAUGGCCCGUCUUCCCUUAAGCGCGAGACGUCGAAGAAGAAAUGUAGCAUUUAUUAAUCUGAUGAGUGCCAUUAUGCUUGUAUACUAUUAUGUGUGGUUAAUCUUUGGAUUAGUUUAUAGAAGAAAGUGUUGGCAAAUAGAAAGGAGGCUUAGAAUUAGAGAGCUAAGAGGAGAGAAUUUGUAUAAACUAAUUGGUGAGAGUGACACAGCAUGUAUAAGUCAACUUCGUAUGGAUAGGAGAACAUUUCAUAUAUUAUGUGAGAUGGUGAGAGAUGUUGGUGGCCUAAGGGGUACAAGGAAUACAUCAUUGGAGGAGAUAGUGGCAUCAUUCCUUUAUGUAUUAGCUCACCAUUUCAAAAAUAGGACAGUAAGGAAAUUCUUUUACCGAAGCCCGGAGCCAGUUAGUAGGAACUUCAAUGCUUGUCUUCUAGCUGUUUUGAAGCUUCAUCCAUUGCUACUUAAGAAACCAGAACCUAUACCCGAGGACUUCACAGAUGGUAAAUGGAAAUAUUUCAAGAAUUGUCUUGGAGCGUCAGAUGGCACACACGUAGGGGUAACCGUCCCAGCUACUAUGAAAGGAAGAUACCGAUCAAGGUUGGGUGAUGUAAAUACAAAUGUGUUAGGUGUGUGUGCACCUGACAUGCAGUUCAUUUACAUACUACCUGGUUGGGAGGGUUCUGCACAUGAUGGUCGUGUUCUUAGAGAUGCUAUCUCAAGGCCAAAUGGGUUGCGUGUCCCUGAAGAUCAAUAUUAUCUUGUCGAUGCUGGUUACACAAAUGCGAAAGGAUUUUUAGCUCCAUACCGUGGUCAAAGGUAUCACUUGGGUGGUUGGACAGCACAGAACCCACCUCGUAGUGCAGAGGAGUAUUACAACAUGCGGCAUGCCAGAGCCCGAAAUAUUGUAGAAAGGUCUUUCGAAAGACUCAAGGGUCAGUGGGCGAUUUUGAGGUCCCCGUCCUUUUUUCCUAUGAAGAUCCAAUGUCGAAUCAUCAUGGCAUGUGCACUCUUGCACAAUUUAAUCUUGCAAAAUAUGCCGCUUGACCCACUUGAUAAUGACGAGCCAAUAAUACAAGAAACAUUGGAAGGCAUGGAGGGAGAAUUAGGCCAACCAGAAUUCAUUACUUCUAUCUCAACUUCGAACGAAUGGACAAAUUUCCGGAAUGUUCUUGCGCAAGACAUGUAUAAUAGACAUAGGGCUGCUAGGGGUCAUUGAGAUAUGGAUGUGGACACCUCAAGUACGUCUCGUGGAAGAGGCAAGAAUAAAAGGAAGUGGACUUCGGAUGAGGAUGAUGAACUUAUUAAAGCCUUGUAUGAGUUGUCUUUGGACCCAAGGUGGAAGGCAGAUGGUAGCUUCAAAAAUGGAUACCUGGUGGUAUUGGAGAAGCACCUUGCUGAAAAGUGCCCGGGUUGUGGUAUCUCUGCAAUUCCACACAUCGAGUCAAGAGUGAGGCACUUUAGGACAAAAUUUGGUGCUCUUGAAGUAAUGUUAUCCAAAAGUGGUUUCACAUGGGAUGGAAACUGGAAGAUGAUUCAAUGUGAGAAGGCACAGUAUGAAGCACAUUGUAAGAUUCAUAGUGAGGCAAAGGGAUUGUAUGGUGUCCUAUUUCCGUACUUUGAGCAGUUGGCUGCUAUUUAUGGCAAGGACAUAGCAACUGGAGAAAAUGCCGAAGGCUUUGGUGAGGCAGUGGGAAACUUGGAAAAUGAAAUUGCUAUAGAAGAAGAGGAACACGAGGAAGAGGACUUGAUCUCAACAGGGACAGCUAGACGGUCUGUCGAUACUCGCUCUAUGGAUGGAACUAGUUCCAAGAGGCAGAGGAAGGAACCAAGGCCAAAGAGGGUGACGGGACCAAGUGAUCCCUUUGCAGUGAUGCUUCAAGAUGUCAAUAGCCGGCUCAACAAUGUGACACAAUAUGUGGGUACAAUGGCAGCAUCAUUGUCAGCAUCAAUGGCACGAGAAGCAGCGUAAGAGGAUCCUCAGCAGAAAUCAAAAGAGAAGGCUAUUAGUGAAUUGGCUAGGCUUAGCUUUACCGGGAGCGAGAUCGUUGAGGCUGCAACCGUAUUUGCUAAAGCUCCAGAUCAGAUGAACAUGAUGCUUGCGCUUCCAGAAAAUCUGAGGGAGUAUGUCCUAAAAAUGCUCUCUGAUGAAAAAAAGAAGCACGGUUGAUUAGAAAAGAUGGGUGGUGUGGUUGAUCAGAGGAAUGGUCGAUGGAAAAGCUACUUUGCAAGAUUCUGAAAUUGGCCUUUGGACUUGCCUUGCAAAAUAAUUUUGGGGACUAAUUAUGUAGUUCAUCUCGAAUUGUUGUUGAAGUCUGAGUUUGUAUUAAUGAGUUAAUAUGCAUUUUAGAAGUGGUGUCAAAUUCUGGUUAAAGGAUGUCUUGGAUGAAUGCAAAAAUAUUUUUAAAUUAUGUACUUGUUUGAUGAGUUUGAAUCUGU
rnacentral:rRNA from 1 species